GUGUACAGGUCCGAAAGGCUCGUUCUACAAGAAUCGGAGGCUCCUUACGCAAGCAACCCGAUCCCCUCGUCAGAAGCCAUCCUUCGGUGCUUUGCUUGGUAUCGAUGCGUGCACUGUGUUGAAGGCGGAUGUCACGGGUCGCGGCAGUCCCGAAAGUGUUCAAGGACGCGAUUUACAACGAAAAAUGUUCUUCUAGCGAAUGCACCUACGAUGGAAAAAGAGGCAGCGGAGUGACAAUGAGAGCAGCCGACUGGUGGAGAGAACUCAUUUUUUAUGAGACAGACACACGAGAGAAUCAUAAGGCUCGCACGACGCCUGGCACGAACUGCGCGCCUCAAAGUCAAACGCCAGAAGAAAGAAUGGAAAUUGUUUCUGUCCAAGAUGAAGCGAUCACCGCUUUUUGACAAGAGAACACGAACGGCAAGAGCCAGAAAAUCGCGCAAGAGCACGAAGAAAGUAUCCCGAGCGUGUCUGAAAGCUCGUGAAAGACUUGACUGGAACUACGGUGUCUCGUUACCAUGGAGGUGCUUUUCGACCUGGAUAGGCGGCACGCAUUUCCGUUAUUACGCAUCAGGCGUUGUCCCUUAGUCACAUGUUCUCCGGAGUAGCCAGUUUUUCCCAACUCAACAGUGCGAGUUUGCGCACAAAGUUCGCUGGUGUUAACCGAUCUCUUGUGCUUGAUCGCGAGGAGGCGACACGCUCUCAGGAAAGCACUUCUCUGUGUAUUGCUG
rnacentral:lncRNA from 1 species